AACUCGGAGGAAGGUGGGGAUGACGUCAAAUCAUCAUGCCCCUUAUGUCUUGGGCUGCACGCAUGCUACAAUGGCUGGUACAAACGGCUGCAAUACCGCAAGGUGGAGCGAAUCCGAGAAAGCCAGUCUCAGCUCGGAUUGGGGUCUGCAACUCGACCCCAUGAAGUCGGAGUUGCUAGUAAUCGUAGAUCAGCAACGCUACGGUGAAUACGUUCCCGGGGCU
rnacentral:rRNA from 1 species